rnacentral:rRNA from 1 species
AACGAACGUUGGCGGCGUGGAUGAGGCAUGCAAGUCGUACGUGAAAGUCUUCGGACGAGUAAAGUGGCGGACGGGCGAGUAACACGUAAUCAAGCUACCCGCGAGACGGGGAUAACCUCGGGAAACCGAGGCUAAUACCCGAUGGUCUGGCCGGACCGAAUGGUUUGGCCAGUAAAUGGAUGGGCUCCUUCGGGACCAUCUGCUUGCGGAGGUGAUUGCGUCCCAUCAGUUAGUUGGUAGGGUAACGGCCUACCAAGACGACGACGGGUAGCCGGCCUUAGAGGGUGACCGGCCACAUUGGGACUGAGACACUGCCCAGACUCCUACGGGAGGCUGCAGUCGAGAAUCUUCCGCAAUGCGCGAAAGCGUGACGGAGCGACGCCGCGUGGGUGAUGAAGGCCUUCGGGUUGUAAAGCCCUGUCAGGUGUAAGGAACCGCGGGUGGUGAAUAGCCAUCCCGUCUGACCCAGCACCAGAGGAAGCACCGGCUAAAUACGUG